rnacentral:rRNA from 1 species
UACGUAGGGUGCGAGCGUUGUCCGGAAUUAUUGGGCGUAAAAGAGCUCGUAGGCGGUCUGUCGCGUCUGCUGUGAAAUCCCGAGGCUCAACCUCGGGCCUGCAGUGGGUACGGGGCAGACUAGAGUGCGGUAGGGGAGAUUGGAAUUCCUGGUGUAGCGGUGGAAUGCGCAGAUAUCAGGAGGAACACCGAUGGCGAAGGCAGAUCUCUGGGCCGUAACUGACGCUGAGGAGCGAAAGCAUGGGGAGCGAACAGG